UAACGCGUGGGUGACGUACCUAUGGGUGGGGAAUAACUGCCCGAAAGGGUGGCUAAUACCGCAUACGUCCACUGCUUCGUGGCAGUGGGGAAAACCUUGCAAGAGGUGCCGAUGGAGCGGCCCGCGUUCGAUUAGCUGGUUGGUGGGGUAACGGCCUACCAAGGCGACGAUCGAUAGCUGGUCUCAGAGGAUGAUCAGCCAGACUGGGACUGAGACACGGCCCAG
rnacentral:rRNA from 1 species